AAAAGAAAAAAACAGUAGAUGAAAAAGAAAAAACAAAAGGAAAAACGAAUAAUGACAAGAGAAGAAAGGUAAAGAGAAAAGAAGAAAAAGCCAAGUCAAAAAGUAAAGAAUAACUCGAAGGAAGGAGUGGAUGGCAAGAAAUACAGAGAAAGCAGUGCAUAGCACAGCAGAGCAAAGCAAGGCAAAAUAGCAGCCAAAGCCACGAGAAUCAAGAAGUCAGUGAAGAGCAGGAAAGGAAUGGAGGAAUCUGUCCAGAGCUGUGCCCCUGCUUGCCACAGGAGCUGCGCGGGAGGAGAAGAACGUGGGCCAAAGGUAAGAGGAGUCCUUUGGGUUCUGGGCUUGAAGCAAAGCUGAGAAGCCAU
rnacentral:lncRNA from 7 species